rnacentral:rRNA from 1 species
GGGUUGUGAGGUUAAGCGACUAAGCGUACACGGUGGAUGCCCUGGCAGUCAGAGGCGAUGAAGGGCGUGCUAAUCUGCGAUAAGCGCCGGUAAGGUGAUAUGAACCGUUAUAACCGGCGAUACCCGAAUGGGGAAACCCAGUGUGACUCGUCACACUAUCAUUAACUGAAUCCAUAGGUUAAUGAGGCGAACCGGGGGAACUGAAACAUCUAAGUACCCCGAGGAAAAGAAAUCAACCGAGAUUCCCCCAGUAGCGGCGAGCGAACGGGGAGGAGCCCAGAGCCUGAAUCAGCAUGUGUGUUAGUGGAAGCGUCUGGAAAGGCGCGCGAUACAGGGUGACAGCCCCGUACACAAAAGCGCAUGUGCUGUGAGCUCGAUGAGUAGGGCGGGACACGUGGUAUCCUGUCUGAAUAUGGGGGGACCAUCCUCCAAGGCUAAAUACUCCUGACUGACCGAUAGUGAACCAGUACCGUGAGGGAAAGGCGAAAAGAACCCCGGCGAGGGGAGUGAAAAAGAACCUGAAACCGUGUACGUACAAGCAGUGGGAGCCCCACCACUAAGCCAGUGGUGAACUCCACAUACGCAUCCUUUGCUGAGGAUACGGUUAACGGAGCGAAAGCGACGUUCAACCGCAAAAGAAGCAGAGGGGGCUUAGUGGUGGGGUGACUGCGUACCUUUUGUAUAAUGGGUCAGCGACUUAUAUUCUGUAGCAAGGUUAACCGAAUAGGGGAGCCGGAGGGAAACCGAGUCUUAAUUGGGCGUUAAGUUGCAGGGUAUAGACCCGAAACCCGGUGAUCUAGCCAUGGGCAGGUUGAAGGUUGGGUAACACUAACUGGAGGACCGAACCGACUAAUGUUGAAAAAUUAGCGGAUGACCUGUGGCUGGGGGUGAAAGGCCAAUCAAACCGGGAGAUAGCUGGUUCUCCCCGAAAGCUAUUUAGGUAGCGCCUCGUGAAUUCAUCUCCGGGGGUAGAGCACUGUUUCGGCUAGGGGGCCAUCCCGGCUUACCAACCCGAUGCAAACUGCGAAUACCGGAGAAUGUUAUCACGGGAGACACACGGCGGGUGCUAACGUCCGUCGUGAAGAGGGAAACAACCCAGACCGCCAGCUAAGGUCCCAAAGUCAUGGUUAAGUGGGAAACGAUGUGGGAAGGCCCAGACAGCCAGGAUGUUGGCUUAGAAGCAGCCAUCAUUUAAAGAAAGCGUAAUAGCUCACUGGUCGAGUCGGCCUGCGCGGAAGAUGUAACGGGGCUAAACCAUGCACCGAAGCUGCGGCAGCGAACGUAUCACUUAAAGCGAUUCAGCGGGUUACGAUUGACGGAGCGAAGCGACGUCAAAGCGUAUACAAAGUCGAGUCGGUUUAAGGAUACGUUCGUUGGGUAGGGGAGCGUUCUGUAAGCCUGUGAAGGUGGCCUGUGAGGGUUGCUGGAGGUAUCAGAAGUGCGAAUGCUGACAUAAGUAACGAUAAAGCGGGUGAAAAGCCCGCUCGCCGGAAGACCAAGGGUUCCUGUCCAACGUUAAUCGGGGCAGG